GAAUUUCCUUGAAAAACUGGGUUAUUUUUGUAAAAAAACCUAUGAUCACUUAACUAUAAAUGUGACGUUUCCACUUAUGAAAAGUCUUACAUUUCCACUUCAAACUACUUAUGAGGUUUGAAUCAUUUGAUAUACAUCAAAACUUUUCAAAGGAUAUCAUUAUCUCUUAAAAUAAAUAAAAUAACUGAAGAAAUAAUGAAAUGAAUAAAGCAAUUUUUAAAAAUUUGAAUUUAAU
rnacentral:lncRNA from 1 species